rnacentral:rRNA from 1 species
AAAAAGAAGCCUUUCACACUGAUGCAUUGCUAUGUAGAGUUUUCGAAGUAUCCAAAGUGGCAGACAAGAGAAGUUGAAACUUCUCUUAAGAAACAAAAGAAGACCAUUGAUGCAAGUCCGGGCACAGCCACCAAUGAUCCGGUUGAUGCAUCCUCGGUACGUACUGAUGCUACCUCGAUACGCACUGAUGCUCUUGAACAUGAGAAAAAACCUGAUGGUGUGAAGAAGGAUAAGAGAGGUAAAGCUGAUGAUAGUGCUUGCAAGCUGUCAUUAAAAACUGUGUGGGCAGCAAAGCUAGAGAAGGAUGAGAUCAAAGAGGUGGCAAGAAAUGCUCGCUACGCACAACAAUUGGAAUUGCGAAAAGAGGAGAUUGCACUCAAAAAGAAUGAAGAUGCACGAAAUGAGAGGGAGGAUGCACGGAGACAGUUUGAAUUAGAUGAGAGGAUCAUGCUCAUCGACACUAGAGGUAUGACUGAUGUGCAAAAGCAGUUCUACCAAGAUAAGCAGAAGGAGAUCCUUGCUCGCGGCCUAGGGUGA